rnacentral:rRNA from 1 species
UACAGAGGGGGCAAGCGUUAUUCGGAAUUAUUGGGCGUAAAGGGCGCGUAGGCGGCUUGGCAAGUGACGGGUGAAAUCCCUCGGCUUAACCGAGGAACUGCCUGUCAGACUGCUUUGCUUGAGUCCGGGAGAGGUGAGUGGAAUUCCUGGUGUAGCGGUGAAAUGCGCAGAUAUCAGGAGGAACACCGAUGGCGAAGGCAGCUCGCUGGGACGGUACUGACGCUGGGGCGCGAAAGCGUGGGGAGCAAACAGG